rnacentral:rRNA from 1 species
AUGGAUAACAACCAAUUUUCCCUCAUGUCCUGGAAUGUCAGAGGACUGAACUCUCCGGCGAGGAGAGCUGCUGUGUCUGAACUUGCCGCUGCUAACAGAACACCAAUUCUCUGCCUACAGGAAACAAAGCUGGAAGCGUGGUCGCCUAGCAUCGUGCGCGAGCUGGGAGGCAACCGUUUGGAUGGCUGCGCGGUCCUGCCGGCAGUUGGAACAAGAGGUGUUGCGAUCCUCUGGGACAAGAGCACUGUGCAGAUCGACACACAGGCUGUGGGUGUCUUCUCGAUCCGGUCAGUGUUCAUCCUCUUUCUGGCUGACAACGGUAUAUGGUCCGGUCGACGAUGGGCUCAAGGAUUCUUUCCUGGCGGAGCUGAUCCAUUCUGCACCACCGCUAGGGGAGCCAUGGAUGCUUGCAGGCGAUUUCAACAUCAUAUACGAAGCAAGGGACAAAAGCAACUUAAAUCUGAACCGGCGCAUUAUGGGCAUGUUUAG